UAUCAGGGUAGGUUGCUUGUAGGUUGCUUACGUAACACCCUGUUGGGUGUUGUCCUUCCCCGGGCCCUGUGUAAGUACAAGAUGCUUCGUGCAACGGGCUGCCCCCUUUUCUUUAAAUGUCAAAUUUAAGGGUCAGGGAGGUUGAAAAAAGAGAUUCACUACAGUUUUUCUAUUUAGGAGUUGAUAUGCAACUUGCCUAUGUGAUGAAACAUAUCAACCUCACUGUUUGAUGACUUCUCAGUCAGAAGGUUAUUUCUUCAGAUCUUGGAACUUAAACAAGAUGAAGGCUCUGGUUUCUUUUUCCUCUGCUCUCCUUUUAAAGCAAUCUUGUAACUUCUCAAACUAAGAUCAAGGCUCUUGUUUCUUUUUCCUCUCUUCUCCUUUUUGAAGCAAUCCUUGUAAUUUCUUAAACAACGAUCAAGGAUAUUUUCUUUCCUUUUUUCUCAUCUUCUUCCCUUUUCAAAGAGUCUUUGUAUUCUGAAUGGGGAGAUAUAAUAUAGUCUAUAGGACUAAUAAAAGAGAAGCUGCUGUACUUUGAUAAUCUAUUGGGUGCUCUGGUGAUCCCAGAUGCAAAAUCUGUUUUUAUCUAAUUCUUCCUGCAUCAGAGCCUGAAUCUGAUUCUGAUAAUCCUAGUAUUGAUCACUAGUGUUGCUUACCUUUAAAAAAAAAGAAGAGAGCCUGAAUCAUGAAUCUGAUUCUGAUGAUCCUAGUAUUGAUCACUAGUGUUCCUUAACUUUAAAAAAAGAAAAAGAUAAGAUAGUGCUAGUGUUCGUCACUGGCGUUGCAUUCUUCUUUUGUUAUUUCAGCAAAACUUGUUAGUGGAGACAUCUUAAGCUGUUAUUUUGCCCCUCAACAGAAAACUUUGAAGUAGAUAUAAUCAGAAAAGGUUUAUAAUGUGAGAAAAGGGAGAGAUAUUAAGAAGAAUCGAAAAUAGGAUUUAGGGAGAAAACUGGAAGAGCUGGAAGUUUGACCAACUCAGGAUAAAAUCAUUUAAAUUUAGGUACGACUAUCUUAAUCUUUUAGUUUAUUUAUUCCAAGCAGUUACAGGGUUUUAUGGGGA
rnacentral:lncRNA from 1 species